GGUUAUCUGGGGAAUCUUAGACAAUGGGCGCAAGCCUGAUCUAGCCAUGCCGCGUGAGUGAUGAAGGCCUUAGGGUCGUAAAGCUCUUUCACCAGGGAUGAUAAUGACAGUACCUGGAAAAGAAACCCCGGCUAACUCCGUGCCAGCAGCCGCGGUAAUACCCU
rnacentral:rRNA from 1 species